UACGUAGGGGGCUAGCGUUGUCCGGAUUUAUUGGGCGUAAAGAGCGUGUAGGCGGUCAGGUAGGUCUGGUGUGAAAACUCGAGGCUUAACCUCGAGAUGUCAUCGGAAACCAUCUGGCUAGAGUCCGGAAGAGGAGAGUGGAAUUCCUGGUGUAGCGGUGAAAUGCGCAGAUAUCAGGAAGAACACCAAUGGCGAAGGCAGCUCUCUGGGACGGUACUGACGCUGAGACGCGAAAGCGUGGGGAGCGAACAGG
rnacentral:rRNA from 1 species